rnacentral:rRNA from 1 species
UGGGGAAUAUUGCACAAUGGGCGAAAGCCUGAUGCAGCAACGCCGCGUGAGUGAUGAAGGCCUUCGGGUUGUAAAGCUCUGUCUUUUGGGACGAUAAUGACGGUACCAAAGGAGGAAGCCACGGCUAACUACGUGCCAGCAGCCGCGGUAAUACGUAGGUGGCAAGCGUUGUCCGCAUUUACUGGGCGUAAAGGAUGCGUAGGCGGAUUUUUAAGUGAGAUGUGAAAACCCUAAGCUUAACUUGGGGACUGCAUUUCAUACUGGAAAUCUAGAGUGCGGGAGAGGAGAAUGGAAUUCCUAGUGUAGCGGUGAAAUGCGUAGAGAUUAGGAAGAACACCAGUGGCGAAGGCGAUUCUCUGGACCGUAACUGACGCUGAGGCAUGAAAGCGUGGGUAGCAAACAGGAUUAGAUACCCUGGUAGUCCACGCCGUAAACGAUGAGUACUAGGUGUAGGAGGUAUCGACCCCUUCUGUGCCGCAGUUAACACAAUAAGUACUCCGCCUGGGAAGUACGAUCGCAAGAUU